CUCCUCCUUCUUGGUUUUCUCCGCAGCUAGCCUGGGGGCCGGGGUCUUCUCCUCCGAGUUGCUGGCUGCAGUGGCUUGACUGGCUGGCUCUGAGGCUGGGGUCAGGGCAGCGGGCACUGGGGCCAGGGUCUGUGCUGCCCCACAGCCCACUAGCGGCAGGCUCCCCUGAAGGAUGAACUGGACCGUGGGCUGGCUGACCAGUGCGCAGGGUGGGAUGCUUGAGGAACACCUGCCUGACCCCUGUGGGGGCCACAUC
rnacentral:lncRNA from 1 species